rnacentral:lncRNA from 1 species
CCUUGUUAAAAAAUCCUAAAAUUCCUACAAAAGACAGAACCCUAGUUUCUACCAACAGUCGAAAACCACAAUAAAAAAAACCAAAAAUAGCAAAAAACCAACAAAAGAAAAAUACAUAAAAAUAGGACUGGAAGUAAGGCAUAGGGGAGUUUUCUUUUUGUAUUUUAGCGGAAGUUAGGGAUUUUUGGGGUUUGGGGGAUUUUCUUUUCC